GAUGAACGCUGGCGGCGUGCCUAACACAUGCAAGUCGAACGGAAAGACGAUGAGCUUGUGCCUUUGCCGUUAGCGGCUGGCGGGUGUGUAACGCGUGCAUCACCUACUUAUCUUUCUGGGAUAAUUACGUAAAAACGGCUAUAAUACUAGAGCAUAUAUUGUACCGGAGUGUGCAGUGGAGAGUGACGGCUUUUGUGGAUGAAUUAGCUGGUUCCGCGCCGAAUUGGCUAGUUGGUAAGGUAACAGCUUACCAAGGCGACGAUGCGUAGCCGGACUGAGAGGGUGAUCGGCCACACUGGAACUGAGACAGGGUCCAGACUCCUACGAGAGGGAGCAGUCGGGAAUCUUAGGCAAUGGGCGAAAGCCUGACGCAGCAAGCCCGCGUGAGUGAUGAAGGCCUUCGGAUCGUAAAGCCCUGUUGUUGGGGAAGAACAGCUGUCGAAGUAUACGUGGACGUCUUGACGGUACCUAAUAAGGAAGCACCGGCUAACUACGUG
rnacentral:rRNA from 1 species